AGAGUUUGAUCCUGGCUCAGAUUGAACGCUGGCGGCAGGCCUAACACAUGCAAGUCGAGCGGUAACAGAUCCAGCUUGCUGGAUGCUGACGAGCGGCGGACGGGUGAGUAACGCAUAGGAAUUUACCCGAUAGUGGGGGAUAACCUGGGGAAACUCAGGCUAAUACCGCAUACGUCCUACGGGAGAAAGGGGGCCUUGGCUCCCGCUAUCGGAUGAGCCUAUGCCGGAUUAGCUGGUUGGUGAGGUAAUGGCUCACCAAGGCGACGAUCCGUAGCUGGUCUAAGAGGAUGAUCAGCCACAUCGGGACUGAGACACGGCCCGAACUCCUACGGGAGGCAGCAGUGGGGAAUAUUGGACAAUGGGGGCAACCCUGAUCCAGCCAUGCCGCGUGUGUGAAGAAGGCCCUCGGGUUGUAAAGCACUUUCAGCGAGGAAGAACGCCUGGCGGUUAAUACCCGCCAGGAAAGACAUCACUCGCAGAAGAAGCACCGGCUAACUCCGUGCCAGCAGCCGCGGUAAUACGGAGGGUGCAAGCGUUAAUCGGAAUUACUGGGCGUAAAGCGCGCGUAGGUGGCUUGAUAAGCCGGUUGUGAAAGCCCCGGGCUCAACCUGNGAACGGCACCCGGAACUGUCAGGCUAGAGUGCA
rnacentral:rRNA from 1 species